UUAAAUCCAUAAAAUAAUAAUUUAAAAAUAGAUUUGACUGAUAUGACUGUGACUCAAUCGAUAAUAUGGUUUGAUUCAACUUUUUGAACAGGAUAAGUCUUAAAAAAUCAUUUGAACGUUCGAACUGCCGCUUGACAAUCGAAUAAAUAAAUUGGUUGGUUUUAAUCAAAUCGGUAAGAUUUUUUUUGAUCAAAUUAUAUUAAAAUCCAACUGCUUAAAACAAAUUUAAAUAAUUUUAUUUUCCAUUAAUAUAAAUUAAUUUUAUAAAAAAUAAAAUUUAUAUAUUUAUAUCUACUUAAUUUGAUCUUAGAUUAGACUAAAUAAUCUUUACUCCCAUAUCGGCCGAUAUCCUAUCAGCCGACCUGUAGAUUGACAGGUACAUAUUAAUAUUUCAACUAAAAAAUCAGGAAUAAAAUCAAUUCGAUUUUUAAAGCAUAGUAGACCUAUAAUUUAUGGGUUAUACCGACUCUCCACACCCUUCUACCUACAUGGUUUACCACCAUUUAUUAUUUAGAGUUAAUUUCAUAAAAGUCCCUAAAAACAUAAUAAAUUGUAAAUAUAUUUUUGUAAAGUUUAAUUUUUAUAUAUUAUUUCUACAAAAAUUUUAAUAUUUUCAAAUAUAUCUCUCUGAUUUUUUUCUGUUAAAAUACUGUUUAUUUUAUAAAUAAAAUAACCUUUUUGCCAUCACAGAUAUGUCCCUUCAAAAAUCUCAACUAUUAAUUAAUUCACCUUAUUAACUAAUUAAAGUUAAGUAUUUUAUUCAUGGUUAACUAAUUUUUUCUAAAAAAUUAAACUUUAUGGGGAGAUAUUUGCAAUUCAUUAUAUUUAUAGAGAUCUACAUGAAAUUACCGAUAUUAUUUAUUGGGGCAAUUGCUUAUAUACCCGUGAAAAGUUUCCGACUUUCUGAUUUAUCCUUCUUAGAAGGUUAAUAUUGAAAAUACCAUUUUUACGUUUCAAUCUAUUUUUAAUAUACCCUUAUAGUUAAAAUCUGUUAAUGAAUUCUGUUAUCUUUAUAAAAUUACUAUUUUUUUCUUUCAAAUAUAUCCUUCUACCAUCACUGACUUUUUUUAUUUGCCCUUAAGUCAGGGGUACAAAAAUAUUUUAUUUUUUGAUCUUUUCACCAACAUUUCUUAUUUGCCCUUAAGUUAAUGGCAAAAGUGACAUUUUAAUUUUUUUAACUGUGGUAGAUAUUUAACUCAUGUUUAAUUCAAGUUAACUUAACGGAUGGGCAACUAUAGAAAUAUUUUGGAACAACGGAGGAACGUAUGAGAGGGGAUAUUUCCCCAAUUUUAAGAGGUAUUUAGGCAAUUAUCCCUUAUUUAUUAUUUAUUAUUUAUUACAUUAUAAC
rnacentral:lncRNA from 1 species